AGAGUUUGAUCAUGGCUCAGGAUGAACGCUAGCGGGAGGCCUAACACAUGCAAGCCGAGCGGUAGGUUUCCUUCGGGAGACUGAGAGCGGCGCACGGGUGCGGAACACGUGUGCAACCUGCCUUUAUCAGGGGGGAUAGCCUUUCGAAAGGAAGAUUAAUACCCCAUAACAUUUUGAAUGGCAUCAUUUAAAAUUGAAAACUCCGGUGGAUAAAGAUGGGCACGCGCAGGAUUAGAUAGUUGGUAGGGUAACGGCCUACCAAGUCAACGAUCCUUAGGGGGCCUGAGAGGGUGAUCCCCCACACUGGUACUGAGACACGGACCAGACUCCUACGGGAGGCAGCAGUGAGGAAUAUUGGACAAUGGGUGAGAGCCUGAUCCAGCCAUCCCGCGUGAAGGACGACGGCCCUAUGGGUUGUAAACUUCUUUUGUAUAGGGAUAAACCUACUCUCGUGAGAGUAGCUGAAGGUACUAUACGAAUAAGCACCGGCUAACUCCGUGCCAGCAGCCGCGGUAAUACGGAGGGUGCAAGCGUUAUCCGGAUUUAUUGGGUUUAAAGGGUCCGUAGGCUGAUUUGUAAGUCAGUGGUGAAAUCUCACAGCUCAACUGUGAAACUGCCAUUGAUACUGCAAGUCUUGAGUGUUGUUGAAGUAGCUGGAAUAAGUAGUGUAGCGGUGAAAUGCAUAGAUAUUACUUAGAACACCAAUUGCGAAGGCAGGUUACUAAGCAACAACUGACGCUGAUGGACGAAAGCGUGGGGAGCGAACAGGAUUAGAUACCCUAGUAGUCC
rnacentral:rRNA from 1 species